UCGGGAAUUUUGGGCAAUGGGCGCAAGCCUGACCCAGCCACGCCGCGUGAGGGAUGAAGGCCUUCGGGUCGUAAACCUCUGUCGGGAGGGACGAAAGGGCAGCGGGCGAAUAGUCCGCAGUCUUGACGGUACCUCCAAAGGAAGCGCCGGCUAACUCCGUGCCAGCAGCCGCGGUAAUACGGAGGGCGCAAGCGUUGUUCGGAAUUACUGGGCGUAAAGCGCGUGUAGGCUGCCAGGCAAGUCGGGUGUGAAAUCCCGGGGCCCAACCCCGGAACUGCACUCGAAACUGCCUGGCUAGAGUCCCGGAGAGGAAGGCGGAAUUCCCGGUGUAGAGGUGAAAUUCGUAGAUAUCGGGAGGAACACCAGUGGCGAAGGCGGCCUUCUGGACGGUGACUGACGCUGAGACGCGAAAGCGUGGGGAGCAAACAGGAUUAGAUACCCCCGUAGUCC
rnacentral:rRNA from 1 species